rnacentral:rRNA from 1 species
GACGAACGCUGGCGGCGUGCUUAACACAUGCAAGUCGAACGGAAAGGCCCUGCUUUUGUGGGGUGCUCGAGUGGCGAACGGGGGAGUAACACGUGAGUAACCUGCCCUUGACUUUGGGAUAACUUCAGGAAACUGGGGCUAAUACCGGAUAGGAGCUCCUGCUGCAUGGUGGGGGUUGGAAAGAUUCGGCGGUUGGGGAUGGACUAGCGGCUUAUCAGCUUGUUGGGGGGGUAGUGGCUUACCAAGGCUUUGACGGGUAGCCGGCCUGAGAGGGUGACCGGCCACAUUGGGACUGAGAUACGGCCCAGACUCCUACGGGAGGCAGCAGUGGGGAAUAUUGCACAAUGGGCGGAAGCCUGAUGCAGCAACGCCGCGUGCGGGAUGACGGCCUUCGGGUUGUAAACCGCUUUCGCCUGUGACGAAGCGUGAGUGACGGUAAUGGGUAAAGAAGCACCGGCUAACUACGUG